GCCCCGCCAAGGCGCCGCCUCCCGCUCCCUCAGCGGCCCCUCACAGCACAGCGGCGCCGGGAGCCUGCCAGAUGCUUCAUUCCAUUGGGUGUGGAGCUGAAAGGAGGGGGUGUUCUGGGGCAGGUGCUCCCAUGGGAAGCACCCACUGCACAGCAGCCCCCCGAAGAUUCCAGCCCUGAGAGAAGGCACAGGGAGCAGACGCGGGCAGCGACCACAGGGCCUGCCUGCGCUUCAGGGGUUGCAGAACCGAGACUGGAAGAUGUGAGUACAUCCUUUGUAACAGAUGGAUGGUCUCUUGCAGCACUACAGACGGAAAAAUGUACAAUCCCUGUGCUCUCUGAAGACAGCAGAAAAACACUGCUGCUGAGAUAAUCUUCAGGAGGAAGAUUACCAAUAUUUAAUUAAAACCACACAGAGCAGAUGCUCUGACUCUCUGCCAGGAAAACCUGCCAUUACUUACAUUAAUUAAACUGUCUCAGCAUGGGGACCGGAGGGAGCAGCACACGUGUGCAGGAACACCACCUGCAAU